AUUGAACGCUGGCGGCAUGCUUUACACAUGCAAGUCGAACGGUAACAGGCCUUCGGGUGCUGACGAGUGGCGAACGGGUGAGUAAUGCGUCGGAACGUACCCAGAGGUGGGGGAUAACGCAGCGAAAGCUGUGCUAAUGCCGCAUGUGAUCUGAGGAUGAAAGCGGGGGACCGAGCAGCAAUGUUUGGCCUCGCGCCUUUGGAGCGGCCGAUGUCGGAUUAGCUAGUUGGUGGGGUAAAGGCCUACCAAGGCGACGAUCCGUAGCUGGUCUGAGAGGACGACCAGCCACACUGGGACUGAGACACGGCCCAGACUCCUACGGGAGGCAGCAGUGGGGAAUUUUGGACAAAGGGCGCAAGCCUGAUCCAGCAAUGCCGCGUGCGGGAAGAAGGCCUUCGGGUUGUAAACCGCUUUUGGCAGGAACGAAACGGUGUCCGCUAAUACCGGGCGCUAAUGACGGUACCUGCAGAAUAAGCACCGGCUAACUACGUG
rnacentral:rRNA from 1 species